rnacentral:rRNA from 1 species
GUGACCCCAGGUCAUGUGGGAUCACCCGCUGAGUUUAAGCAUAUUAAUAAGCAGAAGAAAAAAAACUUACCAGGAUUUUCCUAGUAACGGUGAAUGAACUAAAAAGAGCCCAGAUUGAGAAUCGGGUACCCUCGACAUUCGAAUUGUAGUCUAAAAAAGCAUUCUUAUGGUAGACUAGGCCCAAGUCUCUUAAAAAGGGGCAUCAGAAAGGGUGAGAGCCCUAUUAUGCCUAGACCCUAUCGUACCACAAGGUGCUGUUUGUGAGUCAAGUUGUUUGGGAAUGUAGCCCCAAUUAGGUAGUAAAUUUCAUCCAAAGCUGAAUACGGGUGAGAGACUAAUAGCGAACAAGUAUUGUGAGGGAAAGAUGAAAAGGAUUUUGAAAAGAGAGUCAAAGAGUGCUUAAAAUUGUUGAAAGGGAAGUAGAUGGGGGUCGACAAUACGCCUUGGUCGGAUGUGGAAUGACGAGAGUCAGUCUGCCAAUUAGCUUGGGGCGUGGAUCGACAUUAGUUACGGUAGUGGCCCAAGCUUAAGCUUUUGAUAUGCCCGUAGAGACGUCAUCGCCAUGAUCAUGGAACUUAACAUGCACUAUCUUAAUGUGCCCCAGCACCAAUGUGUGCCCAGCAUAGGCCUGCGGGCUUCCCAUUUGGCCCAUCUUGAAACAUAAACCAAAGAGGUUGACAUGUGUGUAAGUCAACAAGCUAGAAAACCUAUAAGGCACAAAGAAGCUGAUUGGUGGGAUCCCUCGUAGGUAUAUUAUCGACCAACGUUGAUCUUUUGAAAAGGGUUUGAGUGCGAGCAUACUUGUUAAGACCCAAAAGAUAGUGAACUAUGUCUGAGCGAGACGAAGCCAGAGGAAACUCUGGUGGAGGCCUACAGUGAUACUAACAUGCAAAUCAUUUGUCUGACUUGGGUAUAAGGACAAAAGACUAAUUGAACCAUCUAGUAGCUAGUUCCCUCCUCUCUUAGGAUAGCUAGAGCCCUUAGCAAGUUCUAUUGGGUAAAGCUAAUGAUUAGAGGCAUUAGGGGCACAACACCCUUGACCUAAUCUAAAACUUUAAAUAGGUAGUAAGGCGUGGCUACUUCAUUGAGUCGCACCACGAAAUCGAGAGCUCCAAGUGGGUCAGUUUUUAUAAACAAAACUAGUGAUAUAGGAUGAAUAGAAAGCUAGGUUACGGUGUCGAAUUACACGUUAACCUAAAACCCACAAAGGAUAUUAGUCGAUUAAGAUAGCAGGAUAAUGGUCAUGAAAGUCGAAAUCCACUAAGGAGUAUGUAACAACUCAUAUGUUGAAUCAAUUAGCCCUAAAAAUUGAUGGUAUUUAUACGCGUGACCUAUACCCAGUCGUUGGGGCAAAGGCCAGGCCUCGAUGAGUAGGAAAGAGCGGUAGUCAUUGUAAAACUUGAGGCACGAGCCCAAGCGAAGCGAUUGUCAAUGCAGAUCUUGAUGGUAGUAGCAAAUAUUCAAAUGAAAACAUUGAAGGCCACAUAGAAGAAAGGUUUCAUGUGAACGGCACUUACACAUUAGUUAGUCAAUCCUAAGAGAUGGGGGAAGCCCAUUCGACAGCGUAUCCAAUACGAGCUUCGGAAGAGAAUCGGGUUAAAAUUUUUAAAUCGAAACAUGAUGACUAACAGCAAUGUUAAAGAGUCCGAAGAUGUCAGUAGAAUCCUCGAAAAGAGUUACCUUUUUUGUUUAAUGACCUGUACACCCUGGAAACGGCUCAGUCAGAGGUAAGGUACAGUGGUCAGAAGAGCAUCGCACAUCAUGUGGUGUCUAGUGCACCUUCGGUGGCCCUUGAAAAUUUAAAAGAUUGAGUGCCAUCCACGCUCAGUCGUACUCAUAAUCGCAUCAGGUCUCUAAGGUGAACAAUCUUUGAUCGAUGGAAUAAUAUAGGCAAGGAAAGUAGGCAAAAUGGAUUCGUAACCUCGAGAAACGGAUUGGCUUCGAGGGUUGGGCAUGAGGGUCCUAAUCCUGAACCCCUUAGCUGUUGGUGCACUAUUCGAGCUGUUUCUGUGGUGAGAGUGGGUCACCACGGGCCGGUCAGAGGAUGAACUGGGAACAGCUCUCUCGGGGGCCUUUUUCGGGUGACGAAUAGUCGACUCAAAAAUGGUACAAACAAGUGGAAUCUGACUAUUUAAUUAAAACAAAACAUUGCAAUGGUCCCUACGAAUGCUCAUGUAAUGUGAUUUCUGCCUAGUGCUCUGAAUGUUAAAGUGAAGAAAUUCAACCAAACGUUGGUAAAUGGUGGGAGUAACUAUGACUCUCUUAAGGUAGCCAAAUGCCUCAUCAUCUAAUUAGUGACAUGCAUGAUUGGAUUAACGAGAUUCCCACUAUCCUUAUAUACUAUCCAAUGAAACCAUAGCCAAAGGAAUGAGCUUGGUGGAAUUAACGAGAAAAGAAAACCCUGUUGAUCUUGACUCUAGUCUGACUUUAUGAAAUGACUUGAGAGGUGUAAGAUAAGUGGGAGCCUCUGGCUAAAUUGAAAUACCACUACUUUUAAUGCUAUUUUACUUAUUCCAUGAAUUAGAGGUGGGGCACGACCUUUUUUUUUAGACCCAAGGCUAGCCUCGGUCAAUCGAUCCGAGCAAAAGACAUUAUCAGGUAGAGAGUUUGGCUGGGGUGGCACAUCUGUUAAAAAAUAUCAUAAGUGUCCUAAGAUGAGCUCAAUGACAAUAGAAAUCUCAUGAGGAACAAAAAGGUAAAAGCUCAUUUGAUUUUGAUUUUUGGUAUGAAUGCAAACCAUGAAAGCAUGGCUAUCGAUCCUUUAGACCUUUGGAAUUUGAAGUUAGACAUGUCAAGAAAGUUACCAUAGGGAUAACUAGCUUGUGGUAGCCAAGCAUUCAUAGCAACAUUACUUUUUGAUCCUUCGAUAUUGGCUCUUCCUAUUAUUGUGAAGUAUAAUUCAUUAAGUGUUGGAUUGUUCACCCACCAAUAGGGAACGUGAGCUGGGUUUAGGCCGUCAUGAGAGAAAUUAGUUUUACCCUACUGAUGGCAGCGUCAUGAUAGUAAUUCAACCUAGUAUGAUAGAAUCAUUGAUUCACAUAAUUGGUCAUCAUGCUUGGUUGAAAAGCCAAUGGUGUGAAGCUACCGUGUGCUGGAUUAUGACUGAAUGACUCUAAGUUAAAAUCCAAGCUAGAAGCAAUGCACGUGCCCGUGACCCGAUUGUCGACCCGUAAUAGGGGCCAAUAGCCCCCAAGGGCACUGUCGUAGGUGUAGCCCUCACGACAGACAAGCCGUAUAGGCCUUAUU